AAAGGGCCGCGGUAAUUUGACCGUGCAAAGGUAGCAUAGUCAUUAGUCUCUUAAUUGGAGGCUGGAAUGAACGGUCGGAUGAGGGACAAUCUGUCUCCUAUAAAAACUUUGAAUUUAACUUUUAAGUGAAAAGGCUUAAAUUGUCCAGUGGGACGAUAAGACCCUAUAAAACUUUAUAUAACUUAUCAUAUGUUAUAUAAUUUUGUUUGAUUAUAAUUCUUGCAUUUGUUAUAUUUUGUUGGGGCGACAAUAAUAAAAUUUGUAACUGUUAAUUAAAUGUAAUAACGAUAGUUAGAUUUUGAUCCUAUAUUAGAGAUUAAAAGAUUAAGUUACUUUAGGGAUAACAGCGUAAUUUUCUUUGAGAGUUCUUAUCGACAAGAUUAGUUGCGACCUCGAUGUUGAAUUAAAAUUACUCGCGGGUGUAGCCUUUCGCGAAGUGGGUCUGUUCGACCUUUAAAUUUUUACGUGAUCU
rnacentral:rRNA from 1 species